GAUGAACGCUAGCGGCAGGCCUAACACAUGCAAGUCGAGGGGCAGCACAGAAACAGCAAUGUUUUGGUGGCGACCGGCGGACGGGUGCGUAACGCGUAUGCAACCUACCUUUAACAGGGGGAUAACGGAGAGAAAUUUCCACUAAUACCCCAUAACAUCGAUCAAGGCAUCUUGAUUGGUUGAAAACUCCGGUGGUUAAAGAUGGGCAUGCGUUGUAUUAGGUAGUUGGUGAGGUAAUGGCUCACCAAGCCUACGAUACAUAGGGGGACUGAGAGGUUAGCCCCCCACACUGGUACUGAGACACGGACCAGACUCCUACGGGAGGCAGCAGUGAGGAAUAUUGGUCAAUGGGGGCAACCCUGAACCAGCCAUGCCGCGUGCAGGAAGACGGCUCUAUGAGUUGUAGACUGCUUUUAAACAGAGAUAAAGCACAGUAUGUAUACUGUGUUGAAGGUACUGUAAGAAUAAGGAUCGGCUAACUCCGUGCCAGCCGCCGCGUAA
rnacentral:rRNA from 1 species